rnacentral:rRNA from 1 species
AUUGAACGCUGGCGGCAGGCCUAACACAUGCAAGUCGAACGAGUGGCGGACGGGUGAGUAAUGUCUGGGAAACUGCCUGAUGGAGGGGGAUAACUACUGGAAACGGUAGCUAAUACCGCAUACCAUCAGAUGUGCCCAGAUGGGAUUAGCUUGUUGGUGGGGUAACGGCUCACCAAGGGGACGAUCCCUAGCGGGUCUGAGAGGAUGACCAGCCAAACUGGAACUGAUACACGGUCCAGACUCCAACGGGGGGAAGCAGUGGGGAAUAUUGCACAAGGGGCGAAAGCCUGAUGCAGCCAUGCGGCGUGUAGGAAGAAGGCUUUCGGGUUGUAAAGUACUUUCAGCGGGGAGGCGUUACCCGCAGAAGAAACACCGGCUAACUCCGUGCCAGCCGCCGCGGUAAUU